rnacentral:rRNA from 1 species
UACGUAGGUGGCAAGCGUUGUCCGGAUUUAUUGGGUUUAAAGGGUGCGUAGGCGGCCUUGUAAGUCAGUGCUGAAAUAUCCCGGCUUAACCGGGAGGGUGGCAUUGAUACUGCAGGGCUUGAGUAAAGUUGAGGUUGGCGGAAUUGACGGUGUAGCGGUGAAAUGCUUAGAUAUCGUCAAGAACACCGAUAGUGAAGACAGCUA